CGCUGGCGGCACGCCUAAUACAUGCAAGUCGAACGAAGUAGCAAUACUUAGUGGCAGACGGGUGAGUAACAUGUGGGUAUCUUCCCUUUGGUGAGGAAUAACACGAGGAAACUUGUGCUAAUACCUCAUAAGUCUUUACGGAGAAAGCUUUAUGCGCCAAUGGAUGAGCCCGCACUUGAUUAGUUUGUUGGUGAGGUAAUGGCUCACCAAGACUUUGAUCAAUAGCUGAUUUGAGAGGAUGAUCAGCCACAUUGGGACUGAGACACGGCCCAAACUCCUACGGGAGGCAGCAGUAGGGAAUCUUGCACAAUGGGGGAAACCCUGAUGCAGCGAUGCCGCGUGAGUGAAGAAGGCCUUUGGGUUGUAAAGCUCUUUCGUCGGGGAAGAAAAUGACUGUACCCGAAUAAGAAGGUCCGGCUAACUUCGUGCCAGCAGCCGCGGUAAUACGAAGGGACCUAGCGUAGUUCGGAAUUACUGGGCUUAAAGAGUUCGUAGGUUGUUAAAAAAGUUGGUGGUGAAAUCCCAGAGCUUAACUCUGGAACUGCCAUCAAAACUUUUUAGCUAGAGUUUGAUAGAGGAAAGCAGAAUUUCUAGUGUAGAGGUGAAAUUCGUAGAUAUUAGAAAGAAUACCAAUUGCGAAGGCAGCUUUCUGGAUCAUUACUGACACUGAGGAACGAAAGCAUGGGUAGCGAAGAGGAUUAGAUACCCUCGUAGUCCAUGCCGUAAACGAUGUGUGUUAGACGUUGGAAAUUUAUUUUCAGUGUCACAGCGAAAGCAGUAAACACACCGCCUGGGGAGUACGACC
rnacentral:rRNA from 1 species